rfam:Gossypium hirsutum cultivar TM-1 chromosome 13, whole genome shotgun sequence
CCAAAGGGAGCUUGGUACUUAAGCAGUCCGAUGGACUCACCUCCUCCUUUCCGGUUACCUACCUGGUGCUUAGCUUCCAUUCACCUUAACCUGCAUUUAAAAUUAUCUAUGGGUGGUGGUGCAUGGCCGUUCUUAGUUGGUAGAGCGAUUUGUCUGGUUAAUUCCAUUAACGAACGAGACCUCAGCCUGCUAACUAGCUACACGGAGGUGAUCCUCCGUGGCUAGCUUCUUAGAGGGACUAUGGCCUUUUAGGCCAAGGAAGUUUGAGGCAAUAAUAGGUUUGUGAUGCCCUUAGAUGUUCUGGGCCACACAUGCGCUACACUGAUAUAUUCAACGAGUCUAUGCCUUGGCCGACAAGCCCGGGUAAUCUUUGAAAUUUCAUCGUAAUUGGGAUAGAUCAUUGCAAUUGUUGGUCUUCAACAAAGAAUUCCUAGUAAGCGCGAGUCAUCAGCUCGUGUUGCCUAUGUCCC